rnacentral:tRNA from 1 species
GGGCGCCUAGCUCAGCGGUAGAGCACCGCCUUCACACGGCGGGGGUCGCAGGUUCGAAACCUGCGGCGCCCA